ensembl:lncRNA
CAUUUUGGAAGCUUUUCAGUCUGACUUUUAUCUCCAUUGAAAUGUGGUCUGUGAAAGCAGAGUGAAGAGACUUUUCCAGACACAUACUGUCAUAACCCAACAGUUUCACAUCUUUAUGCUGCUGUGAACUUUAGAUAAAAAACAAUUCUGCACAAAGAGAUAGCAUCCAAAACAUCCAAUGUAUAAAUCAUUGUCAGAGACCUGCUUUCUUUUUAUUUUUUUAUGGCAGCACAACCCUCAACAUAAUCUUACAUUUCACAUGAGCACAACAGCUGCUGCCUCAACCGUACCAUCACAAACUGUCUCUGGGGUGACGUUAAGACAAAGGGUGCCGGUCAGAAAUCCAUGACGGCGGUGCUGCAGAGCAGAGAGUUUACCCUGAGCCUGCACCUGCACCUCACCGGGGCUGUCAAAGGGAUUACGUUGUGUUCAAGAGGCAAUCUACCGCCACCAUAAUGAGCCGUCUAUUUCUCUUUCACCUCCACCCUUUUGUCCGUUCGUUACCUGGAAAAAUAAACAAGCUGUUGCCCAACUCUGCUGGACACCUUCCUCAUAAAGAAGCCGGCGUUAUGGCAACUCACUGUUCAAUGACUGCACAGCACGAUGUGGUGUAAAAGUGGCUCCACUGCUGUCGCAAAGGAAAUGAAGGCAGCCAUAUCGUCCUGUAAUAACACAGUGGUGAUCAUGAGGCUCCGACCAUGGAGAGAUGGAAACACAAUGAUUCGGAGGACAGAACACUCUCACAACCUGAUCAAUACACAUCGGCGCGCUGCUUUGACAACCAGAAUAGAAAACAAUCCCAUUCUGUUUGCAGCCCCCACAUGAAUUCACUGCUCAUCUCAAUCUGUCAUUUCUUU